rnacentral:rRNA from 1 species
CAGCGGCGGUAAUACGGAGGGUGCAAGCGUUAUCCGGAUUUAUUGGGUUUAAAGGGUCCGUAGGCGGAUCUGUAAGUCAGUGGUGAAAUCUCACAGCUUAACUGUGAAACUGCCAUUGAUACUGCAGGUCUUGAGUAAAUUUGAAGUGGCUGGAAUAAGUAGUGUAGCGGUGAAAUGCAUAGAUAUUACUUAGAACACCAAUUGCGAAGGCAGGUCACUAAGAUUUAACUGACGCUGAUGGACGAAAGCGUGGGGAGCGAACAGGAUUAGAUACCCCUGUAGUCCCUGUCUCUUAUACACC